rnacentral:rRNA from 1 species
UACAGAGGGUGCGAGCGUUAAUCGGAAUUACUGGGCGUAAAGCGCGCGUAGGCGGCUUUUCAAGUCGGAUGUGAAAUCCCCGGGCUUAACCUGGGAACUGCAUUCGAGACUGUCUAGCUAGAGUAUGAGAGAGGGAAGUGGAAUUUCAGGUGUAGCGGUGAAAUGCGUAGAUAUCUGAAGGAACAUCAGUGGCGAAAGCGACUUCCUGGACCAAUACUGACGCUCAUGUGCGAAAGCGUGGGGAGCAAACAGG